UACGUAGGCAGCAAGCGUUGUUCGGAGUUACUGGGCGUAAAGGGUGUGUAGGCGGUUGUUUAAGUUUGGUGUGAAAUCUCCCGGCUCAACUGGGAGGGUGCGCCGAAUACUGAAUGACUUCGAGUGCGGGAGAGGAAAGUGGAAUUCCUGGUGUAGCGGUGAAAUGCGUAGAUAUCGGAAGGAACAUCAGUGGCGAAAGCGACUUCCUGGACCAAUACUGACGCUCAUGUGCGAAAGCGUGGGGAGCAAACAGG
rnacentral:rRNA from 1 species